UAGGGGAGGUCUUGCCGAGCCGCGAGCCUCCCGUGACCGGGUGGGACUGAGCCUCCCCACCUCCUCUCCACAAUCGCCAGACCAAAGGGAUGACUGUGCGCGCGCGCGCAAGGGCUCGCAAGAAAAAGAAAACUCCAAAGGAACACGCCUCCUUUCUGUGCUCCCCUUCUCCUCCCAAAGCUCCCGGACCUUCUACUCCACUGCCAGACAGCAACAGCGUCCUAACCGUCCAGCCCUUUAAGAAGACUGUCACAAAACUUCAGCCCCCUCCCAGGCCCUGAAGGGCAGGAGUCUUUUAACUGUUUCCUUUCUGAAGUGAAGGGGAGUGGACGGCUACAGGGACGGGGAUAGUUUAGCAGAGAAGACUCAGAACUCAGAAAGGCUGUGCAGAGAGAGCCAUCGUCUUUGGCAGAAAACGCCGGCAGCUUUGAACUGUGGAGGAGCAACUGGCGACAAAGCCAUGGUCCAACGGUGGUUUCUCCUCUGUGUUCCCUGCUCCCUUUGCCUGGAGUCCAUGCUCCCUUUUAGCCUGUAGGAAGUUAGAGGGCCAAAGUGGCAGGCAGCGUGCUGGAUCCAGUACAUUUUGCUUCAGUCUUGUCCCUCAAAGCCAGCGCCCAAAGGCUACAUAAACGUUUAGCCCAAGACAAAGAACUAAAGUCUGUGGAAGGUCCAGUGUGUCAACGAAUCCUAUGACUCCUCAAGAAAGAAAAACAAUGAGGAUGCAGAUCCCACAGAAAGUGGCUCUCAAUAUGUUUAUUACCACUGGGACUUUACCCUAAAUUGGGGAUGGAAGAGGAGAUGGAGGACAAAGGCCAUUGUCUGUGCUAGUUUAGAAAAAUUUGGGGACUGCUCAGAAGAAAACCCCACCUCGGAGUCCUUAGGCACACUGCUGGUGUCAGGUAUAUUGUGGAAAUUCUGCCAUUCGGUUGGGUCUUGGCCACGACAGUUCAUCUUUGUAUCACAGAACUGGUGCUGGAGGAUCCCCUUCUUGUGCUGUUGUUUUUUCUCUACUUGAGGAAAUGUUCUGAAAACCAAAGAGUAUCUCCUUUACCUUCUCUAUCAGCCUCAAUUUAU